rnacentral:lncRNA from 1 species
AGUUCUAACCUCUUAACAUCCUCUAUAUGACCUCUCCCACCUGUGUACUUAAUCAGGUCACUUUUUUUCCAGAUCACUUCUCAAAACUUGCUUUUUCCAUGAUGCCUUUUUACAAACCAAGAAACCUUUAUAUAUUUGGAAGAACUACAUGCAUUGUUUGAAUAUUGUGUCUUUGAUCUGUGGACCUUGUGCUUUAGUAGUCUUCUGGGAACUUAAGUUCUUUGACAGCAUUUAGUACAUAAUUCAAGAGGAAAGCUUCCAAUUAAUUAUUUUACUAAGUGAAAUAUCAGCCUUGAAUUGUAAUCAUCUUGAUUUUGGUUAGGGGAAAACGCACCAUGGAUUAAUAAUUUUCUGACAUCAGAUGAUAUUAUUUUACUCCAGUCUUUAAAUGUCAUACUUCAGCUGUGGCCUUGUGUUUAUUUAAGCAUAUAUGUGAAGGACUGUACACCAUGUGCUUAUUGAAUGAUUAAGAUGGGUACGCCUCAGUGUGCAAAAAGCACCUUUAAAUUUUAAGUUGGAUUCUGAAUAGAAAAUAUAUUUAUAUGUACAUUGCUUGUGAAGUUACUUCAACUUACUUGUUAUAUAGAAGUUAUCUUUAAAGAGUGUAAACAAGACAUAAAACACUGAACAAAGCAAUUUUUGUCCGUUUUCUUGUUUACUGUAUAAAAGUAACCCAUGUCAAAUCACUCUUAGAUCUCAAGCGAUCAUUUAGUUUUUAACAUGUUUUCUAUAAGCAGAAUUAACAUUAGUGAUAAUCUUUUUUUUUUCAGUCAAGAAAAUGAGUAAAUCCUCAUCAAGCAUGAUUCAAAUGCACAUUUCCUCGUACUAUGUAAUCUUCUGGCAUACUAUCUUGUACUAAGAUGUCCAGCCUGUCUAACCUUGAUUUAAUUGUGCUCUGUGCAUAAGCAAUGACCUCACUUGGGUCAUGAAUCGCUGAAUCAAUGGAGCAAAAAGUACCACAUCUGACCUUGCCAUUAAUGGCAAAGCCUUAAAGAGUGCUGUAUUAUGUUCUUUUUUGUAAUAUGUAUAUUUUUUUCUGUGAUUAGUUGACAGUUUUCAUCUGUAAAAAAUAUAUAUGCAAGUGGCACUUAAGGUUUUGCUCUCUCCCUCUCUUUGAACCUAACAGGCAGUCUCUAAAAAAAAAAUCAAUUUCAUGAAUUAAAAACUAUGAUUUAUAAUAUAAACUUUUUUUUUUUUUUUUUUUUAGUAAUACUGUUUCAUUGCACAACUUGAUUUAGUAGUUGUAUUAAAACCGGAAUAGUCAUAUAGCAAAUCUAAAAUUGUAGUUAUAGUCUUCAGUCUGUUCACCAGUUUCACUGGAGUGGGAUUAUAUAAACAUUUAAUGGGACUAUAAAAUCCAGGCAGAAGACAAUGAGAUGACUAGGAAUACUGCUGCUGCUGUACAGGUCUCUUAGAAAUAAAACUAUAUUUUAAUGUAUAACUUACCUUGUUUACACAUCUUCAGAUUCUUAAUAAACAUUC